rnacentral:rRNA from 1 species
UAUCGAGCUUAAGCUAACCCUGAAAUGUCAUCUACCUUUUAUUUCUUUGAAAAAGGUAAAUUUUAGAUAAAGCUUUGGUUGGGGCAACCGUGGAGAAAAAGAAUCCUCCAGUUAAUUAGGAAGAAAACAUUUCACCUAAAAAAUUUAGCGACCCAGUUUAUUCUGGAAAACGGAAAAAGUUACCGCAGGAUAACAGCGUUAUCUUCUCUAAGAGCCCAUAUUGACGAGAAGGAUUGCGACCUCGAUGUUGGAUUGGGGUAACCAAAGGGUGUAGCAGCUCUUUAAGGUUGGACUGCUCGUCCAUUAAUUCCCUACAUGAUCUGAGUUCAGACCGACGUAAGUCAGGUCAGCUUCUAUCUUCUAAAUAACCCUUCUAGUACGAAAGGACCGAAGGGAGGCCUUCAAUGACCAACGUUAAAAGGUAAAAAAACAAGAAAAAAAAGUUAAAAAAAAAAACCUUAGUUUAAUCUAGGGAACAUCUGAAAAGGGACACACUGACAACUCACUUAAACCUGCACUGAAAAAAAAGUUUUUGGAUUUUACACAAGGGGACCCCCUUAUAGUUUUUCUAGAAAUUUUGGAUUUUAAGAAACAUGAAA